ACGCAGSGAAAUGSGAUACUUGGUGKGAAUUGCAGAAUCCCGUGAAUCAUCGAGUCUUUGAACGCAAGUUGCGCCCAAAGCCGUUAGGCUGAGGGCACGCCUGCCUGGGCGUCACGC
rnacentral:rRNA from 1 species